GUGGGUGGCCGCGCCUCGCUGUCUAGUUUAAACCUUUACGCCUGUGUUAAGAAUCUGAGCUGCAGCCAUGCUUCCAGCCGCGGUGCAGAUGGGGCUCUGACACGGGUGGAGAUGAGCUGUCCCGCUUAACGGCACGCAGCCAAACAAGGACGCAGCCGCAGGGGGGACCACUGAAACACUGGCCACGCUCUUGCUAUAAACUCGUCAGUCCUUAAGUGCUUCCACGUUUCUUUCUGUGCUUAAAGUGGAAAUUGUUUUUAGGGGGAAUUGUCAACGAUAUAAUAGAUCAACUCGGCAGAAAAGCUGCUUCCCAGGUGUGACUCCUGCCUACUGAGAUUACCUUCCGUAAUCAGCUGCUUCCAGGAGGUGCUGUCAGCAGCGCAGCCGAGAGGAGCUGUUGCAGUGCGGGUUGCUGUUGUGCGGGUGGCUUGCGCGGGGCCAUGGAAGAACUUCCACCCAGCUGCUUCCUUGACAGCCUGCGUGUGCUUCUAGCAUCCCCUGUGUCCUGCAGCAAAGAAUUCCACCGCCUGUGUGAAGUAUCUCCUGUCGUUUGUCCCUGAACCCAUCGCUGCUAGGUUCAUCUGGGGAGCCCUACAGAUAGCGGGAGAGAGACUGUGAAUAGAAAACCCUUAUUUGCUGUCUUCAUGCUACUUGGUGUUUCAUUGAUCCUUAUCAUACCCCUAUUCAAACGGAAAAGCCUGUUUAGUCUUUCCUUGCGUAGAGGUUAUACAAUACCUUUGAUCUAAUUGUCCUCUGUACCUUUUCCACUUCUACUAUAUCCUUUUUGAGAUGGGGAAACCUGGACUGCACAUGGUAUUAAAAAUGCAGGUGUGCCACUAAGGCCCAUGCUGUUUUCUGCAUUUUCAUUGCCCUCCUAGUCAUUUCUAGUAUGCCUUUUUUGCAAAGUACUGUGUGUCCAAGACAUGUUUUCAUAAUAGUUUAUUUUAGCAGCAUCUUCUUUUCCCUUAGAGGAAAAAGUCAUGUCAGAGCUCAUGACUACAUAUGUAAUUUAGGAUUACACAUUUUUUGCCAUGUGUGUCAUUUCACAUGUGUUGCUCUGAACUGCACUUUAUCGAUAGAGCAUCUUUCAGAGUGUCUUAAAGCAUUUUGAAAACACCGGUUAGGCGUGAACAUGCUUGGGGAAGGCAGUCCGGUAUUAUCCACCUCAUGAAUGAAGGCAGGCAGGGACACAGGCUUCAAGUAACUUGUCUGAAGCCAUGUGGGAAAUCGGUGGCAGAGCUGGGAACAGACUGCAGAGUCCCAAUCCCUAUCCUGCUCUAACCAGCACAGCCUCCCUGUAGUAUUCAGGUACAAAUCAUGCUUCCAGUAAAGAACAGGCCUUUCAAAGCAUUCACUUUGGGUCUGGGUACAGAUGGUCAACCCAGGCUAGCAGUGGUGUAAAAGUGAGGUCCAGCCCUGAAAACAGCGAGCCUCUGUGCCCUCCAGACCCUUACGCUCGUGAGGAAGUCUCUUUAGGCUACAACCAGCUGCCUAGCAGAGUAUAUUUAUAAACUCUGCUUUGCUAGCAAAACGAUUUCUUCCGUCACCCAGGAAAAGGCCAAUCAGUGUUACGUCAUUUCAUAAGGAACGUGCGGGCUCUAUACGCAUAGGCAAGUAGAGGACUGUAAGCAAACCUCCAACACCUAAGGGGUUUCUGAUCAAUUAAAAACACAGUAAAGAGUAACAAGCAUUUUGAUCAGAAAGAAAACGGAGGAAUGCAGAAAAACACUUUAUUGGAGUCUACUAUGUCUUAGAAAUAGGAAGCAUGACCUUAUUUAGGUUUAGUUUAUUUCCUUAAAAUCUUCAACAUGACAUAGUUUUAUUAUUAUUAAAGAAAAGCUCUGAAAAGGCUGUGGAGCCAGCAUUAGUCAAUUAAUCCAUAUAUAUAUAUAUAGUCAACAUAUAGAAGUAAGGUUUUAUACAAUAAAUACAUGAAUAUGCAAAUCCAGUUGGCUAGCUGUUUGCUUCUGUGGGAAAUCUGUUCUUUCUCUUGGAAUUGGUGUUGUAGCAACGGGUGGCGUCUAAGGACGCAGAACGGUUCUGCCUACCGUCUACCACCUGCCUGCAGGAAGUGAGAUAGUGACCAGUUUGAUGUUACUGAAGACUUUUCAGGCUAUAUGCAAUCUCAUUAUGCCUUCCACUCUUUAAAUCUAAAAUUUGAUUAUUGUUUCUGAGGUGCUGCAACUUUCAAUAUUACUCCUCAGUGCAAACGUAAGAGUAAAAUAAAGUGAAUUUACUGGAUCCACUUUUCUUCAAAAGGAUCCAGGACCAUCUGAAGACUCAGAAACUGAUUAAUUUCUCUAGUCAGAGAUGGCUGCAUUGAAGGAUCUUAGAAGACUCUUAUUCUGUGUGAGGUAUCUCUGUCCUAACUUCCAAGAUGCAAAGAAUCACCACUCCCUAGAAAGCUGGGGAAAAAAUGGAGUUUCAAUCCCCUGAGAAAUCAAGCCUCAUGUACUUGGCUUUUCUAGUUACUGCAUGCAUGAAAAAAAUCUAUUUUCUUUAUUAUAUGUAAAACUUACUGUUGAGCUGAAUUAGUCACAGCAGUAAGAAUUCACUGAUGUACUAUGCAGAAAUUUUCUUUUUCAAAUGUAUGUUGCUAAACGCAAUUCCAUAUAGGUACCCAGCAGGGUUGCUGUCAGUGUGCCAACAAACACCGAGUAUGCUCUUGCAUAGUCUUUCCUUGGUGCUGGGCUAAUUUUUGAUGGUGCACGUUGGAGGUAAAUUCUACUAUAAACUGAAACACAAACAGGAACCAUCUAGAGUUUUACACAACGCAGAUCAGGAGCGCUGGCCUCAUGUCAUUGCCAUGGCCACAGCCGAGAUCGCUCAGGCAUGAACAGCUCUGUUUGUCAAGUCCCAUCACAAAGGCUAGCAAAACACUGCAGGACACAGAUGCUGGCUGAUAUGCGUGGGUAUACGAAGGCUGUCGUUUUUGUAGCUGAAAAUAAACAUUUGCAACUCUACUUGCUUUACAGCAAACUCUGGAUUAAGUGGUUAAAUCUAGAAAUGUUCCCCCCUCCCCACCACCUUGCUGUUAGCCAGGCCACAACUCCAAGUCAUAGCAGCUACCCGUCACAGUAUAUCUCGCACAAUUGCUAUAAUGGGUUCUGGUGUCUGCCCACGAAGCUUCCAAAACACAAGAUUUCUUUUCUUUCAUACCCAGUAUUGGACAAAAACACCUGAAGUCCUAGAAGAACCUACACCCAAAUUAAAUCAGCUCCGCAACUAAAGAGCACUCUUAUAUUAUUUCUGUUUGCACUUAUUUAAAAGAGGAAAGAAAAGCAAUGAAUUCCUUUGGGCAUUCAUUAAUUAGGAAUUUGAGUAUGCUUAUGAUGUGCGUUUUAACUUCUGCAGAUUGCUUAGAGCAUUAAAAAGCAUUUUACAUUUUCAGUAAUGGUACUGUAAGAUUUAAAUCUCCCUGUAGCUUUAUUUGUGGAAGCCCUGCGAAGUGCAGAACUGUACAAGUUACAAUUAUUUUUUAAAGCAUUUAUGGAUCCUCAGAGUGGCUA